rnacentral:rRNA from 1 species
GAUGAACGCUAGCGGGAGGCUUAAUACAUGCAAGUCGAGCGGCAAGGUCGUCGGACCCUAGAACGGCGCACGGGUGAGUAACGCGUACGCAAUCUGCCCUUCAGUGAGGAAUAGCCCUGGGAAACUGGGAUUAAUACCUCAUAAUAUUAUUUAAUCGCAUGGUGAGAUAAUUAAAGUUCAGGCGCUGAAGGAUGAGCGUGCGUCUGAUUAGCUAGUUGGUAGGGUAACGGCCGACCAAGGCUACGAUCAGUAGGGGGCGUGAGAGCGUGACCCCCCAAACGGGUACUGAGGCACGGACCCGACUCCUACGGGAGGCAGCAGUAAGGAAUAUUGGGCAAUGGAGUCAAUUCUGACCCAGCCAUCCCGCGUGAAGGAUUAAGGCCCUAUGUGUUGUAAACUUCUUUUGUUUGGGAAGAAAUCUGGACAUUUAUGUGCAGUUGACGGUACCUUACGAAUAAUCACCGGCUAACUCCGUGCCAGCCGCCGCCGUAAAAC